rnacentral:rRNA from 1 species
GACGAACGCUGGCGGCGUGCCUAAUACAUGCAAGUAGGACGCAGUUGCGAACGGGUGAGUAACGCGUAGGUAACUACCUAUUAGAGGGGGAUAACUAUGGGAAACGAUAGCUAAUACCGCAUACUAGUAGAUGGACCUGCGUUGUAUUAGCUAGUAGGUAGGGUAAUGGCCUACCUAGGCAACGAUACAUAGCCGACCCGGGAGGGUGGUCGGCCACACUUGGACUGGGAAACGGGCCCGACCCCUACCGGAAGCAGCAAUAGGGGAUCAUCGGCAAUGGGGGGAAAGCCGACCGCGGAACGGCGGGGGAGUGAAGAAGGGUUUCGGGUCGUAAAACUCCUUUGUUCAGGGAGCGGUACUUAACCAGAAAGGGACGGCUAACUACGUGCCAGCAGCCGCGGUAAUUC